GACGAACGCUGGCGGCGUGCCUAAUACAUGCAAGUCGAGCGCAGGAAGCCGUCUGAACCCUUCGGGGGGACGACGGUGGAAUGAGCGGCGGACGGGUGAGUAACACGUAAAGAACCUGCCCAUAGGUCUGGGAUAACCACGAGAAAUCGGGGCUAAUACCGGAUGUGUCAUCGGACCGCAUGGUCCGCUGAUGAAAGGCGCUCCGGCCGCGCCCAUGGAUGGGUUUGCGGGGCAUUAGCUAGUUGGUGGGGUAACGGCCCACCAAGGCGACGAUGCAUAGCCGACCUGAGAGGGUGAUCGGCCACACUGGGACUGAGACACGGCCCAGACUCCUACGGGAGGCAGCAGUAGGGAAUCUUCCACAAUGGACGAAAGUCUGAUGGAGCAACGCCGCGUGAACGAUGAAGGCUUUCGGGUCGUAAAGUUCUGUUGUAAGGGAAGAACAAGUGCCGCAGGCAGUGGCGGCACCUUGACGGUACCUUGCGAGAAAGCCACGGCUAACUACGUGCCAGCCGCCGCGGUAACAC
rnacentral:rRNA from 1 species